rnacentral:rRNA from 1 species
GAUGAACGCUGGCGGCGUGCCUAAUACAUGCAAGUCGAGCGAACGGACGAGAAGCUUGCUUCUCUGAUGUUAGCGGCGGACGGGUGAGUAACACGUGGAUAACCUACCUAUAAGACUGGGAUAACUUCGGGAAACCGGAGCUACUACCGGAUAAUAUUUUGAACCGCAUGGUUCAAAAGUGAAAGACGGUCUUGCUAUCACUUAUAGAUGGAUCCGCGCUGCAUUAGCUAGUUGGUAAGGUAACGGCUUACCAAGGCAACGAUGCAUAGCCGACCUGAGAGGGUGAUCGGCCACACUGGAACUGAGACACGGUCCAGACUCCUACGGGAGGCAGCAGUAGGGAAUCUUCCGCAAUGGGCGCAAGCCUGACGGAGCCACGCCGCGUGAGUGAUGAAGGUCUUCGGAUCGUAAAACUCUGUUAUUAGGGAAGAACAUAUGUGUAAGUAACUGUGCACAUCUUGACGGUACCUAAUCAGAAAGCCACGGCUAACUACGUG